rnacentral:rRNA from 1 species
UACGUAGGGUGCAAGUGUUAAUCGGAAUUACUGGGCGUAAAGCGUGCGCAGGCGGUUUUGUAAGUCUGACGUGAAAUCCCCGGGCUCAACCUGGGAAUUGCGUUGGAGACUGCAAGGCUAGAAUCUGGCAGAGGGGGGUAGAAUUCCACGUGUAGCAGUGAAAUGCGUAGAGAUGUGGAGGAACACCGAUGGCGAAGGCAGCCCCCUGGGUCAAGAUUGACGCUCAUGCACGAAAGCGUGGGGAGCAAACAGG